UACGUAGGGUGCAAGCGUUAAUCGGAAUUACUGGGCGUAAAGCGCGCGCAGGCGGUUUUGUAAGUCUGAUGUGAAAUCCCCGGGCUCAACCUGGGAAUUGCAUUGGAGACUGCAAGGCUAGAAUCUGGCAGAGGGGGGUAGAAUUCCACGUGUAGCAGUGAAGUGCGUAGAGAUGUGGAGGAACACCGAUGGCGAAGGCAGCCCCCUGGGUCAAGAUUGACGCUCAUGCACGAAAGCGUGGGGAGCAAACAGG
rnacentral:rRNA from 1 species